UCGGCCUGGGCGCCAGAACUGCGCUGGUUUUUUGUAGUGGGAAGAAGAAGAAGAAGUUGAAGAACUAGAGCACACAACCUUGAAAGCAACUUCUACACAAAGCUUGAAGGAGAGCUAGAGCUUGAGCAAGAGCAAGCGAGAAAGAAUAGAGCUAAUUGAGCAAGAUGGCAAGUGAUGGCAAGUGAUGGCUUUGGCUCUUGGGUGUGCACCUCUUUUUAUAGUAUACGUGAGUGGCAUGGAGGUAAUUUCUUCAUCUUCAAAACUCUUAAGAAGAAGAGCUUGAAUAUAGACGUUGGAGAGACAUGGAGCUUCACUUGAACUUGAAUUUGAUCUUGGGGGAUUGUGUAGCAUUUAAUUCAAGAUCAUGAUUGUGUUUUAUUUUGGGAGAUUGAACCUCCACACAUUUUGCCUUGCUCCAAUUUGAAUUCUUCUGCUAAGAUUUUGUGUAGCAUUGAUUCCAAGAUCUUGUAGUUAAUAUGUUGGAUAUGCUCUUGUAAUUUAUCAUGAUUGCACUUUUACACGUUUUCUACACCUUGGAUCCAUUUGAAGCUUGGAUGACUAGUUGAAGCUUUCACACCUUGUUGAUUAACCUUUAAGACAUUGAUCAACUUGAAACAAAAGAUAAUAUUGCAAGUAAAUAGGUGUGCAUAAUUAAAUAAAAACUUCAAUAAUUAACUUGAUCAAUAGUAGAGAUUUGUUUGAUGGAAAUAAUUAAUACUAAUCUCACUUUAGUUUAAUCACAUAUCAAGUCAAUUUUAUCUAUAUGAGUUUAAUUGAUUUAUUCAUGUAACUUUAACUCAUAUAUUUCUAUCUCUUGUUAAUUAGGCUUUAUUAUAUUUUAAAUUAAUUAACAACUAAAUAUGUCAUUGAGAAUCUUAUUUCUACAGAUUCAUCAGCAGUUCACCGCACAAAUCAGGAUUGGCCUCAAAAUCUCCCGACUUGUGAAACGCAAAAGCCUCCGCCACUGCCGGAAUAGCACCGGAGAGAUUGUUGUAAGAGAGAUCGACGAUUACAUUUCUCCUGAAAAGUGGACCCAGAACACGACGACGGAGACCACCUUACCAGUAGAAUAAAGAACACAGAACACCACAACACCGGGAUCCACCUUAAUAGUCGAAGAACCGACUACAGAACCCACCCUGAACACCGGAACUAAAAAGUCAGAACACCAGAAAAUCGGAGCGCAUAAACCAACUUACAGUCAAUAGGAAGGAAAGAUUGGAUUCAGAAAGAAGAGUGUAAAAACGUUUGUGUUGUAGGAAGUUAAGGAAGGGGGUUUAAGGUGGUAAUGGGUUAGAAACUUUGGUCUUGGUAGAAGCCGGUAAGAGGUAGAAGACGGUAGAAGUAGAAGACGGUGGUCUUGG
rnacentral:lncRNA from 1 species